rnacentral:misc_RNA from 1 species
ACUGGCACACUGCUCAAAGCUUCCCGAUGUUUUGCCAUUGACUGUCUCAACAUGAAUUUAUGAAAACUCAUCAAUCUGAACCAAAAUCAACCCCUUUUUGCUUAAGAAAUUCUUUGGCCUCGAUGAUGUCCUGCUGCAAUAGCAUUGCUUCUUGAGGACAAGUUGGAAAUCGCAUUAAGCCAACUCCAACCAUUAAUAAACCAUAGCAUCCCAGCAAUACAACCAAAUAGAUGGGUAGCAACCAAGUAUGGAUAUUAGGAAUGACAGCUGUUUGCAAGAGGCCAAUCCAAAUGGCAGAA